UAAGGCCAAUGUCGAUGAUUUUGACUUU
rnacentral:piRNA from 1 species